rnacentral:lncRNA from 1 species
GUAAUUGAAAGCGCCCUUCUUUUCACUCUGCCUGAAAUUACAACAGGCUGAGUGGAGCGGGAACGAGCCUGUGUGUUGCGCAAGCUGUGAAGAGCCAAGUUACAGAAGAGGUAGAGGAAAUAUGACAGGGCUCAAACAACGGCUGCUGAAUUAUAAUAUUUCUGAAGGCCCUAAAGUAUGCUCUUUCUUCCCCCACCCCCUUGCCCCUGAGCCAGUCAGGGAUGAGAUUGGCAGAGCACUACUACUACAUCCCUUCUGCUUUCUGUCAUAAACCUGGAACACUCUAGCAUGAUUAAAGAGAUUCAAACAAUGCACUCA